UUUUAAUCACAUUCAGGUUACCACAAAUUGUUUUUUCAUUUAGUUGAACUUAAAAUGUUUGUCAGUAGGUAAACAAUUAGUAUUGUACAGUCAGAAAUAUCAAGUUAUUAAUACUGCAUACUUGCAAUUAAUAAGUUGUCCUAACAGUCAUCUUAAGUAAGCUUUACUUAGUUUUUUUGAGGCAACGAGUUUGCAUAUUUUUUUUGAGUUCUGGAAACUACAUAAGUUUUUACUCUAUACUCAAAGUGAAUAAGUUGCCUUAACUUAGUCAUCUUAAGUAAACUUUACUCAAUUUUUUUGAGUUCUGGGAACUAAUGAGGCUGUACAGUGUACUCAAAAUGGGUAAGUUGCCCUAGCUUAAUCAUCUUAAGUAAAACUUUACUCAAUUUUUUUGAGGCAACGAGUUUACAUAGUUUUUUGAGUUCUGUGAACUAAUUAGAUUUUACAGUGUAUAGCGACAAAGAACAAGUUGGCAACACUGAUCUCUUCCAGUGUCUCUUCGGUCCUCUCUUCCUCCCGCCAACCAGUUGCAUCAGCGUACAGACGUCAUUAAACCACCAAAGAUGUGCAUUUUAACUUUGGGGAACUUUAUGAAUCAAAGAACUCACCUCGUCAGUGACCCGCCGAUAUAGCACCAAACAAAGGAUGUAAAGAAAAUGGCGCAAACGAGUGCUUUCGGCUUCAAACCCUCUACCGGGAAAGUUAUGUGAAACCUAAAGGACUACGUCAGGAGUGAUUACUCAACACGUAGUGAACGUAUUAUGAGUUAUGCAUUAAUGUGUGCACAGCCGUACUUGGUCAAGAUACAACUAGUUAACACAACUUAUAUAUAAUCCCAUUGUGUUUAUACGUCUUAUGCCUAUAGUCACAUAAACGGAACAUUUUGCCCUCCUUGUGAUAUAAAAUAGCGUACUAGUUUACAUUUAGAUUAUUAACUAGUUUGUUUUACAUGGAUGGGUUCAUUUUUGCAACUUUGCCCAAGAAACUUAACUUAACUUAAGAAACUGCUUAACUUAGGUAACUUCCCACUGCAGGAAUUCUUCGAACGAACCUCAGGAGAACGUCAGAGAGCAGGGUCUGGUGUUUAACAAGUGUUUAGUUGUAUCUAAUUUUGCUCUAAAGGGCAAAAAUGUUACUAAGUUAAGAAAAAGAAGGUAUUCCUAACUUGGGCAGGAAAGGUGUGGCGGCUGUCAUGCAAAACCUGCUCAGUAGUUGCUUUACAUAUCAUGUAAAUGAAGAAACAGCAGGUCAGACCCUCAACAUGUUGUAAGCAUCACAAACAGCUGACUCAUGCAGAGUACUGCUGUGUGUGUGCAGACAGCAGCUGAAUGUGUGGGCCUCUGAAGGAGCUCUGUCGAGUCUGAGAAGUCGGUGCCCCUUCACCAGGCACAGGAGGAGCCAAAGCUCGGGGCAAAUGUGACUCCUUCUGCAGGUUCCCCACUUUUCUUCAUGCCUGGAGCACAAUUCUUUUCCCAUUUUGAUUAUUUUAGUGCAAGCUAUGCAGUUUAAUAAAACCACAAAAAUGACAUAUACAUAACAGUGUAAUCUGAGAAUUUUGCAGAACUUUAUUGUGACAGCUGAUACAGACACCAAACAGCCUUCUGUAACAAUUAAAAAAAAUGUUUUCACUGAAACUAAAGUGAACUUCGCCCACUGCUAAAUCCUUCCCUCCAGGGUACUGGGGUCAUCCCUGCACCGGAGUGAUUGUAGUAAAAUCUCAGUAGUCUUUCCUCAUCGCCACACCUGUUUGUCUAUCCAGAAAAAGAAAAAAAAUCUGAUUGAACCUGAACUGUCUAAAGCCCUCCACAAAGCCUCUCUGCACUGCUCAGCAAAGUGUUAUGUGCCUCCUUUUGUGUCAGCAGUCUUAUUUACAAAUGGCCAUCCACUCGGUCUGGCUGCACACACAUUGCUGAUCUUUUCAAAACCUAAUGUCAAACCAAUAAUUCAUAAAAUAAGCUUCACAUCAAGAGCAAAAAGGUAAAACCAAAAGCAGGCAAAUUCAAAAAUGAUCAGUUAGGUCACUUCUCUGUCCAGUUGGCACAGCAAUGCCAAACGA